ACCGACCCUUCCAACCUUCAUCCCAAACGGUACGGUUGAAUUCUCUGUGAGAUAUGUAGUGUAAAGAUAGAGCAAGUUCACGAGCUAGCUAUCUUUCUUCUGCAACUCUCUUCCCUUCUUUCUGUUAUUCAAAUUCGUAAAAAAAAUACACACCCAUCUGGGUUGGUGCGUUUCUCACGAGCUUAGACCCAUCUCCGGUCUUUUUCUUCACCAUCCAAUCCUGUGGUCCACGUCCAGCCACUUAAUCAUCACAACAGUACAUCCACCUCAACCUUCUUUCCCUUCGAUCUCUCUCGAUCAGGGCUUCCUCUGAUGAUGAUGAUAAUGUGACUUAUUGUCUUGAACUUUUUAUUUGGUGGGUUUUCCUUUUCUUUUCAUUAGAGGUUGAGAGUACAGAGAAUGGAUCGUUCGGCGGUUACCGUAGGUCCCGGUAUGGAUAUGCCGAUUAUGCACGAUAGUGACCGUUACGAGCUGGUGCGAGAUAUCGGGUCUGGGAAUUUCGGAGUGGCGAGAUUGAUGAGAGAUAAGCAGACUGACGAGCUCGUUGCCGUCAAGUAUAUCGAGAGAGGUGAGAAGGUUAGUGUGGUCUAAUUUGCCUUUUUUAUUUAUGUGAUUACUAUUCAUUAGAUAGGGUUUUGAGCAUUUUUUUCAUUUAUAGUUAGUGGUUAAGUUUUAAGUUUCUUGUAUAGAUAGGCGUUUGAGCUCGAAUUUAGUGGCUUAUCAGCUUCAUAAGCAUUUAUGUUAGGCUAGAUUUUGAGUACAUUUAUGUUUCAACUUUCAAGAUUGGUGAUUCCUAAUUUAGGAUAAGAUUAAUUGCAUGAGUUAUCUAUGCUCUCAGUUUGAAUUCAUUUCAUAUAUCAUUGAAGCGAUUUGCUUGGGUUACUCUUGUUCAAGGGCUAGUAGGUGUUUGCUUCAGUGUCGAACCAAACCGGCUAGCAGCUACUUCAUUAAUUUUUUUAUUUUCCAACGUUAUAUCAAGCAUUAUUUUGAUAGGUUUUAUUAAGCUGCAAUUGUAUUAAGAUUUAUCUCUGGAAAUGGAGGAUUCUACAGCUAGGUACUGGUGGAUGAAGUGAGAAUACGUGGAUGCCCAUGGAAUCUAGAAAUUAUUAUUUGUUUCCUAUAUAUGAACGUCAACAACAUUCAUUUGCUACAGAACAGAACACUAAGGGGGGAAAAGAGUGGUCGCUUUUCUCAAAAAGGAGCUUGAAAAGUUAGAAGGAUGAGGACCAAGAAUCUUCAAUUCAUACCAUUCAUUUUGAGUUUUCAUUCUGAGAAAUAUGUGGAUAGCAUCAUUUAGGUUAUGGGUUAUUUAGCUGGCUGGAUUCUAUGUAAUUUGGUCCCCUUCCUAGCUUUUGUAGAAGUCUUUACUUUUGAUAUUGGGAUUUACCUUGCUUUUAUUUUUUGUUUAACAGAUAGAUGAAAAUGUACAAAGGGAAAUUAUUAACCACAGGUCAUUGAGGCAUCCUAACAUUGUCAGAUUCAAAGAGGUCUGUGAAUUUGCAUAGUUUGUAUUUUCUUCUUCCCGAAGGGGUUAUCAAUAAUUUAUAUAGCAACUAUAGGUCAUAUUAACACCAACACACCUGGCUAUUGUGAUGGAGUAUGCAUCUGGUGGAGAACUUUUUGAGCGGAUUUGCAAUGCAGGCCGCUUCAGUGAGGAUGAGGUUCCUACUCAACAAAUUGAUUUCGUAUUAGGGUCAUCAAUUUUUUCUUAAUCUGCUUUGGGUUACAAUGCAGGCUCGAUUUUUCUUCCAACAACUUAUAUCAGGAGUUAGCUACUGUCAUGCAAUGCAAGUAUGCCACCGUGACUUAAAAUUGGAGAAUACAUUGUUGGAUGGAAGCCCAGCACCUCGUCUGAAGAUUUGUGACUUUGGUUACUCUAAGUCAUCGGUUCUCCAUUCACAACCAAAAUCUGCUGUUGGAACUCCUGCAUAUAUUGCACCUGAAGUGUUACUUAAGAAGGAAUAUGAUGGCAAGAUUGCAGAUGUAUGGUCUUGUGGGGUAACUUUGUAUGUAAUGUUGGUGGGAGCAUAUCCUUUUGAGGACCCGGACGAGCCUAAGAAUUUUCACAAGACAAUACUUCGAAUUUUGAAAGUCCAGUACUCAAUUCCUGACUAUGUUCAUAUAUCUCCUGAGUGCCAGUAUCUGAUUUCAAGAAUAUUUGUGGCUGACCCUGCAAAGAGGAUAAGCAUUCCUGAGAUUAGGAAUCACGAGUGGUUUCUGAAGAAUCUUCCAGCAGAUCUCAUGGAUGAAAAUGCAAUGAACAACCAGUUUGAAGAGCCUGAUCAGCCCAUGCAGAGCAUCGAUGAAAUCAUGCAGAUAAUAUCUGAAGCCACCAUCCCAGCAGCCGGUGCCCGUAGUCUCAAUCAAUAUCUGACUGGAAGCCUGGACAUUGAUGAUGAGAUGGACGAGGAUCUAGAGACUGAUCCUGAGCUUGACAUGGAUAGUAGUGGAGAGAUAGUAUAUGCCAUGUGAAUGGAGGACAGAACCUGCACCAUUUCUUUGGCAAUUAUAGUUAGAAAUUUGUGAUAUGAGCUGAGAAUCAAUGCACAAGAAUCCUGUCAUUUAUCACCUCUAAUGGAAUGAGUAUACUCCUGUAAUGUGGUUGCUACUUCAUAGUGGCAUAUGGACUGUUGUGCUCGCUUUGUAACAUGGUAAUGUAAUAAAGACAAGUCUUAGUCUGUGCUUAAUAGUAUCACUUACUGAUGUUUCUCUACAGAAGUGUAUCCAUAAUUAUGUUUGAUUGGAUUUAGUACUCGCUUCUCUUUUGACGAUUUGUUACUGGCUGCGGUUGGCUUGGUCUUAUGAAGCUUUUUCGUGCUUUUGGGUAGUUUUAGAUCUCAUAAAGAGGUAGUGGCACUGAAUUUCAAAUGGUUUGAUCGCGAGUAACGGGCAUAUUCAUAAGAAGACAGAAAUUGUCAUAUCUUUGGAAAAAGGUUCAAUAUAUGGAGAAAAUCACUCAUGCAUCGAGUCCGAUAUCAACCAGUCAACAACGAGAUUUUUCUUUGACGGAGAAAAGAAUUUCAUUCGAAAGAUCAACUAAAGCAGCAGCUACAAUCAAAUCAGGAAGGGCAGCACCCCAUGCUUCAAGACUAGACACAGAAUGCGCUGUCACUGUCAAUAAAUGGGUAGCGUUCGCUGAUCUACUAACAUUGGUCCAGAAAGCAGAACUUGGCAAGCUGCAACAACUGCCCCAUUCUUGUCCCUAAGAAUCCAACCAGCUCCAAGCUUCUAGGCACCACUGAACAAAGCAGCAUCCGUGUUGCACUUGAGAUAACCCAACAGGUGGUUUUGUCCAUAAAGCAUUCCAUGAACAGCCCCUACAUUACCAAACAUACUACACUGGACAUGAACAUCAACAUGGGCAGACCGCCAGCUAUGAAGCAAAGAAGAUACCAUAUUAACAAGCUGAGGGACUGACGAAUCAAAUCCAUUCCAAACAUGUUUCUGCACUUCCACAAUCACGACAGAACCAUACGAGCCAUAGCAAUAUCCUCCAACCCAAGGCUUUGAAACUUCAUGGUUAAACAGCUAUGAACAUUGGAAAUAGAAUUACCAGGAGACAGAGGACCGCAUAACAACACAGGAAGCACAGCUGCCCAGCAACCCCUAGCAAAACCAGAGUCGGAAAAGACAUGGGAACUCGUCUCCACAGCAGAACCACACGCCGGACAAUCAACAUCAACAUCCACACGAGAAAUUAUUAAGUGCAUGUGGUACACUUAAAAAAGGGGAUUUGAACCCGACAAAUGUGCGAGUGUUAUUCACGCAUAAUUAUUUCUAUAAUACAUAAAAGGUUGGAACCUCAGCUUUCCGCUGCUUGGUUUCAAGUCAAUUAGAACAUUUUGUUUUCCAAGGCAGUGUCCGUAAGCACAAUAUCACAUUUUAUGGCUCAAUAAUCCUAGCAUGGAAGCAUCUAUCAAGUUCUAGCAAACAACUAUAAAGCCCAUAUGGAGGGGACUGCAGCCAAAGAACCUAACUCUCCUAUUGCUAACGACCAAGGAGUUCCAAUGUUCCAUCUUUAUGACAUCACCAACCAGAGCCAUAUGAAAAAUUCUACAUAAAUAAUGCCAAUUCAUUGAGCUUAAUCUUCCUGCAAGUGAAGUUGCAACAUGAUAUCAAAUGACAAUGGUGAGAACUAGUCUCAUCAUUCUGAUUUACACCAGACCAGAAACAUGGAUUUUUUUUUUUUCCCUUAUAGAAAUUCCAAUCCAACCACAACCUAGGACCAAAUCUGUUAAAAUUAUCUAAAGCUCAAUCUUUUCAACUGACAGCUAAUCGUACUUGUUCUCAAGUUUAAAUGCAGUUAAACAUGAAAAAUAAAGACACAAGACAAAAUUUCCCAACAUUAUAAGCCUAUAAAUGCGAACCCCUCAUGGUAUAAUUUAGUAUACAACAGCGAAAGGGACUCUCAUGUAAAUCAACAUUAGGGAAAUGGAACAGAUAUUAGAAAGGGAUGUAAAAGCCACCUUCAAACAGCUUGAAAUUCAGCUUUGAGAAGGAACUGCUUCCUGCACAGCAGGAUUUGAAUUCCCAUCAUGAGUUUCAGCUCCA
rnacentral:misc_RNA from 1 species